UACCAGUGUUAUCAUAACUUUUAUUUACAAUCCAAAUCUAUAUUUAAAAUAUCAUGUUUUGGAGUGUAAAAAAGAACUAAUCUUUUGCAUAUAGUAUUUGUUCGUAUAUUAAAAUACACUACAAUGAGCAACUUAGAAAUGAAAUGUGUGUUCACUGGAACAAUGUGCCUCUGUUUUCAGAUCGAUGGUUGAAGAUGAAAAAGACUGGGUGCGAUUUCAAACUCUGUCGAAUUUCUUCGAAAUGCCACACCUGUAACUGUAUUUAGGGCUAGUGGAUGGUUUCCAGAUGAAGCAAAUAAAAGAUAAGACCAUUGGCGAACAAGUUGGCAUUAUGUUAUAACAUCAAAAAGGUGUUCUCGACAUAGACUCUCAUUUUAUGUAUAAAAGAUAAUUUCUUUUUCAAAGACAUAUAAAGAACCAAGUUCGGAUGGAACAAUUUAAAGUUAAAGCUCGCUUGUUUAGUUCUUGUUAAUAGAAGAUCCAUACUUGAAAUAUAAUUGAUAAAGUACAAACAGGUAGGGUUUGUGA